UACGUAGGUGGCGAGCGUUGUCCGGAAUUACUGGGCGUAAAGCGUGCGCAGGCGGUGAUGUAAGACAGUUGUGAAAUCCCCGGGCUCAACCUGGGAACUGCAUCUGUGACUGCAUCGCUGGAGUGCGGCAGAGGGGGAUGGAAUUCCGCGUGUAGCAGUGAAAUGCGUAGAUAUGCGGAGGAACACCGAUGGCGAAGGCAAUCCCCUGGGCCUGCACUGACGCUCAUGCACGAAAGCGUGGGGAGCAAACAGG
rnacentral:rRNA from 1 species